rnacentral:rRNA from 1 species
GAUGAACGCUAGCGGCAGGCUUAAUACAUGCAAGUCGUGGGGCAGCAGCUCUGUAGCAAUACAGAGGCUGGCGACCGGCAAACGGGUGCGGAACACGUACGCAACUUACCCUGAACUGGGGGAUAGCCCACCGAAAGGUGGAUUAAUACCUCGUAACACUGUGAAGUGGCAUCGCUUUACAGUUAUAGCUCCGGCGGUUCAGGAUGGGCGUGCGGCUGAUUAGGUAGUUGGUUGAGUAACGGCUCACCAAGCCUGCGAUCAGUAACUGGUGUGAGAGCACGACCAGUCACACGGGCACUGAGACACGGGCCCGACUCCUACGGGAGGCAGCAGUAAGGAAUAUUGGUCAAUGGACGCAAGUCUGAACCAGCCAUGCCGCGUGGAGGAUGAAGGCCCUCUGGGUUGUAAACUUCUUUUAUGGGGGACGAAAUCUCUUAUUCUUAAGAGUCUGACGGUACCCCAGGAAUAAGCACCGGCUAACUCCGUGCCAGCCGCCGCGGUAAGAC